CGAGAAGUCGUUAGUCGUGGAGAAAACAUAGCACCGUUACCAUGUCGUCGUCGUAUCGUCUAGUGUCAAGAAUUCCUCCCAUUUUCUUCCUAGUGCCAAUUCUACUUAUGCUUAUUGCCAGUGUUCAAUGCCAAGACGAGGUACCCACCACGUCACUGUUGUCAACUCUCAUCAUCAACAAAAUCGAGCGCUGCAUAGACAAACUGAACGCCAUCGUGGACAUCGUCGGCUUGAUCGGGGGAGGGGUCUAAAACUGCACGCCACCACUGCAUCAAUAUUGAAGAACAAAAAAGAGAAAACAAAGAAAACAAAUUGUUUUUAAAUCGUAGUUUAAACUAUUUUACGAUUCAUGCAUUUAUGUAAUACAUAAGUUUUAAUUCGAUAAAUUAAAUGUGUACAUAUUUAUAAAAAAUGAAA